AGAACGAACGCUGGCGGCAUGCCUAACACAUGCAAGUCGAACGCUCUUGGGGCUUCGGUCUCAGGGGAGUGGCGCACGGGUGAGUAGCGCGUGGGAACCUGCCCUGUUGUGGGGGAUAACCGAGGGAAACUUCGGCUAAUACCGCAUAAGCCGGUUGUCUUGAAGGAGAUGGCCGGGAAAGAUUUAUCGCGACAGGAGGGGCCCGCGUCGGAUUAGCUAGUUGGUGGGGUAACGGCCCACCAAGGCGGUGAUCCGUAGCUGGUCUGAGAGGAUGAUCAGCCACACUGGGACUGAGACACGGCCCAGACUCCUACGGGAGGCAGCAGUGGGGAAUAUUGGACAAUGGGCGCAAGCCUGAUCCAGCAAUGCCGCGUGAGUGAUGAAGGCCUUAGGGUUGUAAAGCUCUUUCGCCCGCGACGAUGAUGACGGUAGCGGGAGAAGAAGCCCGGCUAACUCGUGCCAGCAGCCGC
rnacentral:rRNA from 1 species